rnacentral:rRNA from 1 species
UACGUAGGGUGCGAGCGUUAUUCGGAAUUACUGGGCGUAAAGCGUGCGCAGGCGGUUUUGUAAGCCAGAUGUGAAAGCCCCGGGCUCAACCUGGGAAUGGCAUUUGGGACUGCAAGGCUUGAGUGCGGCAGAGGAGACUGGAAUUCCUGGUGUAGCAGUGAAAUGCGUAGAUAUCAGGAGGAAUACCGAUGGCGAAGGCAGGUCUCUGGGCUGACACUGACGCUCAUGCACGAAAGCGUGGGGAGCAAACAGG